UACGAAGGGGACUAGCGUUGUUCGGAGUUACUGGGCGUAAAGCGCACGUAGGCGGAUGUGCCAGUCAGGGGUGAAAUCCCGGAGCUCAACUCCGGAACUGCCUCUGAUACAGCACGUCUUGAGUCCGGAAGAGGUGGGUGGAAUUCCUAGUGUAGAGGUGAAAUUCGUAGAUAUUAGGAAGAACACCGGUGGCGAAGGCGGCCCACUGGUCCGGUACUGACGCUGAGGUGCGAAAGCGUGGGGAGCAAACAGG
rnacentral:rRNA from 1 species